rnacentral:rRNA from 1 species
AGUGAACGCUGGCGGUAGGCCUAACACAUGCAAGUCGAACGGCAGCACAGUAAGAGCUUGCUCUUACGGGUGGCGAGUGGCGGACGGGUGAGGAAUACAUCGGAAUCUACUUUUUCGUGGGGGAUAACGUAGGGAAACUUACGCUAAUACCGCAUACGACCUACGGGUGAAAGCAGGGGAUCUUCGGACCUUGCGCGAUUGAAUGAGCCGAUGUCGGAUUAGCUAGUUGGCGGGGUAAGGGCCCACCAAGGCGACGAUCCGUAGCUGGUCUGAGAGGAUGAACAGCCACACUGGAAGUGAGACACGGUCCAGACUCCUACGGGAGGCAGCAGUGGGGAAUAUUGGACAAUGGAGGCAAGCCGGAUACAGCCAUACCGCGUGGGUGAAGAAGGCCUUCGGGUUGUAAAGCCCUUUUGUUGGGAAAGAAGAGCAGCAGGUUAAUACCCCGCUGUUCUGACGGUACCCGAAGAAUAAGCACCGGCUAACUUCGUG